CUAAGAAUCUUCCGCAAUGGGCGAAAGCCUGACGGAGCGACGCCGCGUGGACGAAGAAGGCCGGAAGGUUGUAAAGUCCUUUUCUCGAUGAAGAAUAAGGCAGCGAGGGAAUGCGCUGUCGAUGACAUUAGUUGAGGAAUAAGCCCCGGCUAAUUACGUGCCAGCAGCCGCGGUAACACGUAAGGGGCGAGCGUUGUUCGGAAUUAUUGGGCGUAAAGGGCGCGUAGGCGGCUUGGCAAGCCUGGUGUGAAAGGCCACAGCUUAACUGUGGGAGUGCGCUGGGAACUGCCUAGCUAGAGUUUCGGAGGGGAAGCUGGAAUUCCUGGUGUAGGGGUGAAAUCUGUAGAUAUCAGGAAGAACAUCUGUGGCGAAGGCGAGCUUCUGGCCAGAAACUGACGCUGAGGCGCGAAAGCGUGGGGAGCGAACA
rnacentral:rRNA from 1 species